UACGGAGGGGGCCAGCGUUGUUCGGAAUUAUUGGGCGUAAAGGGCGCGUAGGCGGCCGAUCAAGUCGGAGGUGAAAUCCCUCGGCUCAACUGAGGAAUCGCCUCCGAUACUGUUCGGCUUGAGUCCCGGAGAGGGUAGUGGAAUUCCGAGUGUAGCGGUGAAAUGCGUAGAGACUCGGAAGAACACCAGUGGCGAAGGCGGCUACCUGGACGGGUACUGACGCUGAAGCGCGAAAGCCAGGGGAGCAAAC
rnacentral:rRNA from 1 species